UGGCAGUAGAAGGGUUAGUGCUGGUCAAAGCUGUGUGAUGGCUGCAUUUGCUUAAGCUGGGAGAAGGAGGGCCUGAGAACUCUAGCCCUAAAGGUGUCUAAUGAUUGUUGUCACCUAUUUCUGCUCAACAUCUUUGAGACAGUGACCAGACCUUGAAUACAGUACUCCAGAAAAUGUACCGCAGUCUGUGUUUUUACCACAUUUCCCUGC